UACGUAGGGUCCGAGCGUUGUCCGGAAUUAUUGGGCGUAAAGGGCUCGUAGGCGGUCUGUUGCGUCGGGAGUGAAAACUUACAGCUUAACUGUGAGCGUGCUUCCGAUACGGGCAGACUUGAGGUAUUCAGGGGAGAACGGAAUUCCUGGUGUAGCGGUGAAAUGCGCAGAUAUCAGGAGGAACACCGGUGGCGAAGGCGGUUCUCUGGGAAUGUACUGACGCUGAGGAGCGAAAGUGUGGGGAGCGAACAGG
rnacentral:rRNA from 1 species